CUCGGUGUGUAGAUGCAUGGCUAUAUGAGUAGCGGCUAGUCCAUGUACUCAGUGUGUAUAUAUUUCGUAUAUCAGGUGCUGUACCAAAUAGUUGUGUUGUGUUCUCUGCACCAGUUCUAGGUUUUGGGUUUUCCCAAUCCUUCUGAGUUGCAAUCUACAUGGUUUAGUCUUCAUUUAGGAUUUUGAGCACUGCAAUAGGAUUUCAAGGUGACAAGGGAGAGAUUGGGAGAGAGUGGGAGAGAUGUUCGAUUCAGAUCGCCCAACCCUCCUCUUCUUCCAAGCUAUGCUACUUUUGAAGAGAAAGAGUAGUAUUUCUUCAGUGAUUGAAAAUACCCUAACGGCUAAUGGCCGAACAGAGUUGCAGGUUCCAGUUAUUGGAAGGCACGACCGAUGGCUGGAAAGUUGGAAUAAAGAAAGCCUUUUUCUAUAUUGGAAAUGCUCCAAGACAAAUUGGCUUAACAAAUUUCAGAACCAAUAAGGAAGAACGACUACACUUAAGGAUUCUUUCAAAUUCUACUAUGUUGUAUACUAUUUAUGCUUCGAUUUUUCUUAAAUUUUGUUCCUGGAUUUUGGAUUUUAAUAAUUUUCCCUUUUGUUCUUCAUAGUUGGAUCAUUGGGUUCUCUGCCGGAUACAGAGAAAAGCUUAAGCAUCCAAAAAUCGGUGUCGGGUGUUUGGAAGAAAGAACAGAGCCACGCUUGUACAUCUUCAUCGUCUUCCUAAUUAGAUGACAUCUUUCGAUCGCUCCCUGAAAUUGAUGACCAGUUCUUCGAUCUCCCAAGGAUUAACUUAAUAGAGAACCUUCAAUUUCAAGAUGUGAAAAAGGCUCACCCCAUUUGAGAAUUACAUGUAUUUUAUGAACAGAUGAGGGUUUCACCGAUGAUGACCAACGAUGAGGGUUUCGCCACCUCCUCUGCCAGCGUGAAUCACAAUCCCUGAAGUCAAUCUUAUUAAGACCCUUUUCAAUUGAAGGGUAAUCCGGCCCUCCGAUGUUUAAAACUAACAAUAUAUUCGCACCUCAAUGUGAGGGGAAGGAACGUAAUUCGUUUAAAUCCUUAGAUCUGUGUGUAAUUUUGACAAACUAUAAGGGAGGGGACGUUAUUUGUUAUUUUUUAAUUUUUUGUGUGGUGUAUUAUACUAAGUUCAUGGCUUGUGUAAUAUAAUGAAUGUAAGAUCGAUCUCGUUAGGGUUUGAUUCAA